GUGGAAUACCCCAAAUUACUACUAGCUAAACGCCUAAACCCAAUACAGCGAACUAGCGAAGUGAAUUCACGGUUCACCCCACUGCUUCCUCACUUCACUCUCCCCCGUAGUCCACAUUCCAGCCGCCGCCCUCCACGUCAGCUGCCAGACGCCACCUUCCACCAGUCACUACCCUCUGCUGCCGGCGCCGUUUUUAUGUUCUGUUUGGUUUUUCUUUUUUAAUUGCAAUUUAUUGUCGCUUAAUGUUGAAUUAAAUCAUUUUAAUUUUUAUUAUGUCAUUUUUAAGGUUGGGAUGGUGAAUCUAUUGUGCUAUUGAAUUUUUUUUUUCUAGAUUUUUGAAGUAUUAUGAAUCUAGCAAUUAGGGUUGGUAAGUUCAGUUAGUUUGAUAGUUCAAUAGUGCGAAUGUUGUGCACGAUAUUAGAGAUGGUGCGAAUCUGACAGUAUUCAUUAUUGUGAACCUUCUUCAAGUGGUGAACCUCCCAGACCUAAUUCAAUUUGGGGUAUUACAGUUUCUAACUGAUUAUGAUUGCCUGGUUGAUGAUUCCUAAUGAUCAGUACAAUUCUUUUUGGUGUUUAAUCAGCAAAUUAUAUAGUUAAUGACAACAAAAAUGACAUGUUUUUGGCUUAAUGAAAGUAAAAUUCACUUGGGUUGUUCUGUUUUUAUGCUAUUUUGAUAACUUAUCCUGCAUAAAAUAGUGUUUAAUUCAUACAAGCAGUCUAUUGGAGUUAGAUCACAAUUGUCUUAUUGAUGAAGUACUUUUAAGAUUAGAGUAGACUUAUUCAUUUUGUGAACUGGUUUCAUUUGUCUAAUCUUUUUUAACAAAUGUUUUGCAACUCUCAUCUACAAGCUUUUAUUUAUUAAUGUUACGAUGUUAUUAAUCAAUUAAACAUUGGUUAUAUUAUGUCUCAGUAUACCAUGUCUCAUGAUCGACAAGUUUCUAUUGUUAGAAACCGAACUAGAGAUGACAAUAGUGAUAGCGAUGAAGAUGAAAUGGAACUAAUUGCAAUAGUUAGUGGCUUUAUUAUGGUUGUAGUGGGAGCAUGGUUUGAUAGGUUUCAGCAUAAAGAAGUACCUUGGAACGAACAUGAACGUGCAAUUAAAAGAGUAUAUUGGUUGGAUUCCCUCAUGAAUGAUAGGAUUUGUAAAGAGCAGUUACGUAUGGAUCGGAGAUGUUUUGAUAAGUUGUGCGAGGUUUUAGUUACUAGAGGAGACCUAGUUACUACUAGGAAUGUGACUGUAAUAGAAAUUGUUGCCUUUUUUCUACAUACUCUUGCCCAUGAUCUGAAGCAUAGAACUAUUGGUGUCGUGUUCACUCGUUCGGGAGAAACGGUAAGCCGUCAAUUCCAUAUCGUGCUCAAAGCUGUGAUGAAAAUAGGCAAGUAUUAUAUCAAGCAAGUAGAUUUCAAUGUGACUUAUGAUGAAGACAACAAGUGAAAGUGGUUUGAGGGGGCACUUGGGGCACUUGAUGGGACAUUAUUAAGAUGACAGUUCCCGUCGAAGAUCGACCUAGAUAUAGAGAUAGGAAAGGAGAUAUUACUACCAAUGUACUAGCUACAUGUGAUCCAAGUCUUCGGUUCAAUUAUGUUUUGCCUGGCUGGGAGGGACCGGCUUCUAAUCCUCGCAUUUUAGGGGACGCCCUCCGAAGACCUAAUGGUCUCAAAGAUCCUAGGAAUAAAUAUUUUCUUGUUGAUUUGGGAUAUUCUAAUGCACAAGGCUUCUUGGCUCCAUAUAAAGGUACACGUUACCAUUUAAACUUGUGGAGAGGAAGUGCUCCUACAAACUACAAAGAAUUGUUCAACUUGCGUCAUUCAUCCGCACGUAAUACUAUUGAAAGAGCCUUUAGGUUAUUGAAAAAGAGGUGGGUUAUAUUGAGGAAAAGUAGUUUUUAUGAUAAGCAAAUACAAGUAAGAAUCAUAAAUGUAUGCUUUGUUCUCCAUAAUUUUGUUAAAGAAGAAAAUUUGGAUGAGGAGAAUUUGUUAAAUGAGGUGGACGAUGACUUAUCAAAUGUAGAAGCUUUUGAUACAAUGGAGGAUGAAGGGGAGGAUUUCAUUUCAACGGCACAAGCCUCACCUCAAUGGAACAACUUAAGAGAUGAAAUGUCACAAAAAAUGUUCCGAGAAUACCAAGCUCGAAGGGGGGCUACUUGAUUGUAGUUAUUUUUAUUCUCUAGUAGUGUAGGUAAUGAGCAAUAAAAGAAGCUAUGUGUCUUGGAAUAAGCAGAUGGAUGACAUUCUUACUCGAAUUUUGUUAGAACAAGUCAACAAGGAAAAAGGAGAUGGAGACUUUAAGCCUCAAGCUUACCAAGCUGUUAUUGAUGAGUUAAAGAGAAAGAGUUAGGCAUUGCACUUAAUGUGGAUCAUGUGAGAAACCGAACUAAGUCUUGGAAGAAACACUAUGGCUGCAUCACGGACAUCAAGACUUAUACAAAAUUUAAGUGGGAUGAUGAAAAAAAAAUGAUCGUAAUCACAAUGGAAGAUCAACCUCAAUGGACAGAAUAUAUUAAGGUAAACAAAAAUGCUGCCCCUUAUCGCAACAAGUGCAUAGAAAAUUGAGAAGAUAUUUGCACUUUAUUUGGUGCGGAUAGCCGUCGGGGAUGGUGCAGAACAACACGAGGAGGCAGCGGAUGCCAUGGAGGGGGAGACGAUCUGCGAACGAACAAGCUCUUCUAAGGAUCCAACUAAUUCAAGCUUUCGCAAGCAGAAAAAGGAUAGUGUAGCUGAUGCGGUAAAUAGUUUUGCUGAGUCAUUUAGAGAGUACGUGCAAAGCAAGAUUAAAGACGCUCCGAAACUCACUUGUCAAGAGAUUCACGCUGUUGUUUCUCAAGUGCUUGGCAUUUCUAGGAUUCAGACUAUGCGGGCAGUAAAGAAGUUUAUGAAUGGUAAUCCCGACGAGUUUCUGAUGUUGAAAGAACUACCGGAGGAUGAGAAACUCGACUGGAUACUCUUAUGCCUUGACGAGUAGUUUGUACGUUACACUUUUGAUAUUCUAUGUUAAGAUAACUUUUAAUGUGACAAUUUCGGAUUAUUGUAAUAUCAUAAUACAUUUUAUUUGCUAAUAUUUAAUAAUUUUGGUUGAAUGUAA